UUCCUUUUCCCAACGAGCCGACGGCCUCGGUGGUGCCCAUCAGCGCCUGUACUGCACCUCCGGCCCGCUGAAGAUCCCUUUAGAAGCGAAAAGACUGCUUUGAAGCAUCUAGGGGAAGCAGGCGGGAAUUUAUUAUAAAUUCCUCUAAAGUACAACAGCUGUACAGAAGCAGCUUAGUUUUCCCCCGGCCGGUACAGGCAGUGAGUCAGCACAGCGAGGCGCUGCUGGCCGCGCUCAGUCCCGGGACGGGCGGUGCGGGAAGCGCCAUUUCGGAGCCUGCGCCGUGCAGAUCGUGGGGCCAUUAUCAAAGAGGGCUGUGUCUGCGCUGUGCGUUCUCUGACCUUACUGGAAUGUCUGUGUUCACCUUUCUGUUUCGAGCGGUAGUGCAAAAAUCAUCAUUAACUUCAACACAUAUAAUUUGUCUUUUCAGACCUUUUAGAGGAUUCCAGAGCUGUGACUGCAGUUUCCCAAUUCCCAGGCUGUCUUGGCAGUAGAAGAAAUGUGAAAAAGAGCUUUGUGUCAUUUGAAUCGUGUUGUCUUCUUAUGAAUUACUGCUAUAGCUGCUGUAUGUAGGUGUUGCAAGGUCAUACCUUCACCCAUCCAAGGCAAAGACAUGAUACUAUCUGCCUGAAAAUAUCUGUCUGGGCAAUCUUUCAGUAAGACUUCUCCCACACAUCCAACUUUUUUUUUUUUUCUCUCCUGUAACUUAUUGCUUCUUUCAUGUUGCACAAGAGGUUCCCGAAAACAUUAAUUUUUUCCUCCCCCAGAUUCCUACAGUAAGUACCACUUUGUCUACAAAAUCCUGUCAGUAAUUAAGAAGCUCAUAUGUUACAACCUCUGCUUGGUAUGAUAAUUACCCUACUCUCCCUGCCCUAGCUCUCCCUGUUGACUGUUGAUCUUCCAUCCAUUACCAUUAGCUUGAAUUGAAUAGAAUUUGGAGUGGUAUGAAGUGUCUCACAUAGGGAAGAACCAGCAUUUUGAAGGACCUGCAGGUGCUACCUCAAGGUUAGUUUAACAACUAAAAAUACUCCAUCAUGAAUGGCCUUUAUAUCAUUCAGGUGGUAUUCUUAAAAUUAUAUUUUAAUCUCAGUUAAAAUGUGAAUAUAGUUAUUUAACGCAGCCUAAAAGAAGUGGGUUUUUUGUUUGUUUGUUUUUUGUUGAAAAAACAAUGACCAGCCAUGGUCACCACAGUUCUGGCCUGUAAUAAGUUUGAGCUUAUGAUGGCUUUGUGCCCUCAGGCUCACCAGGAAGGGGAAUCAGGACAGCGUGCGUUGGCAGGUGGGAGUGUAAAUCUGGGUAGGAAGAGAACUCAUGUCAAGAGCAUGUCAAAUCAGUCUCUUCCAAGCAGGAUCCUCAAAAACCCAAAGGUGUAUUCCUCUCUAUGGAAAAAAAUAAUAAAGGAGAGCAUCAAUAUCAGUUAUCACUCUUCAGCUUUAACCCUCCCGGGGGCACAGACAAUCUGACUGAUUAAGUUGUAAUUUUACACCCUUUGCACCAGCUGCACUUGUCUGAUUUUUUUACCUGUGUCACUAAUAGCACCACAGAGAACUAGAAUGAAAGAACUAUUAAAAGCCUAAUGUGUUUUUUUCAUAUGUAGGUUGUUUGCAUUUCUAAUGCCUGUUUUGAAGCCUUGUGUGAAAUGAAAAGUGGAGGUGAUAAUUCAUUAGCAAGCAAAAUACAGAAGUAAAGCGUUAUGAAAAAAACCUGUUAUGGAGGGAGAUGGAGAACUUAAUGCUCAAGGAGGCCUUUCACCUCCAGGGUUUGGAAGACCUUCCUGUGUAGUUAUGCUGGAACACUGUGGAUGGGAAGAAUAAAACAACCAAGGCAGCCUGCAUACAAAGCCUGAACUAUUACCUCCUAGUGGGGCCAGUUGCUCUCACUGCUCUCCCAAGGCUACCGAGCAGCAGGUGUACAUGGAUGUGCUGGGUGUGAUCACCUCCUGCAGCACGGCUGCUGCCUCAUGUGCAGGGGGAAAGCAGAAAUGGAGAGAGAAAAUGAGCUGUGCUGCUGCUUUGUAUGUGCCUGCCAGCCCUGGCCAUAUCUGCUGUCACACUUGGUUUUCCAUAAAAUUUCUUUGAUUGUUUUUGAUCACUGGUACUGGUGUGAAAUGUUGUCCUUUGCACAACUGGAUCUAGCCAUUAAAAAUGCUUUAGAAGUCACAGCAUACAUAUCAAGUGUUGAUAGAUACAAGGCUGAAAUGGACUGUGGCAAUACUCGUGGUAUGCUUUUAAUCAUAGCGGUGAAUUACAUUAAAAUCUCACUGCCCAACACUACUGUGUUUUGCUCUCUUUUACGCUGUGGCAACACCUAGCGUUCCCUCUUCACAUGCCUAAUUCUUCACAUAGUUUGAGGAUAAUAUGACCUCAGAAUACAUGCAGUCCUUCACCUAUCAGCACCUUCUUUUCUGCACUCAGGAGAUACUGUCGAUCCUUCUUUCUCUUACAGAUUUGUCCAAACUUAUUAGCACAGGCAAAAGUAAUUCCCAUUUCCUCCUGGCUACGUGACAAAAGAAGGACAAAGGACUUCUAUCUGCUGCCUAGGAAUACAGUAAACAUUCAUGAUUUCAAGUAUGGUGAUAAGAGCAUAUUGCACCACAGUGCCAUCUCGUAGCAGUUUGUUUGGCUGAGCGUUCACUGGGCCAGCACAUCACCACUGUCAGCAUGCAAAUAAGCUCUCCCAUGCAGCUGAGAAUGAGGGCCAGAAGCCUGAAAAUAAACCAGCAAAGUGUGCCUGUUAUAAGGAAUGAGAGGUACUUGCCAACUUUUAAUCACUGGGCUUAAUGACUGGCAUGACAACAUUUUUCUGAUGGGAAAAUUAUUUACAGGCAGUUGGAAGGUCAGGAGGCUGUCUGAAACAUUCAGUGGCAGAACUGGAGUUAGCAUUUCAGUGAACCACAUUGCUCAGGUACCUGCUUGGUGUCCCAAUGCAGCCACCUUCACUGUGCACUUCAGAGUAAAAAAUUACCUUCUAAUAAAGAAAUAAGCACAAUGGUAGGAAGGAUUCUGCUUUGGGUCUCACCUUGGCUGUGAGACACAGUGCAGGCUGUGUAGUGGGCUGUUACAGUGGUUUGCUUGAUUCUGUUUCUUCUGUCAGACAUUUGCCAGUGUUGAUGAUGAAUAGUGGGGAAAAAUACUGAAAAAGUCCUAGGUGAUGAAUUAGAAUAUUAGUUUAGGUAUUUCUGCUGCCAGACAGUCAUGCAGUUCCCGCAUUACUAUAUAAGGUUUAAAAUGUUGAGAGAGGAAGAGGAAUUUCAAAUAUGUUUAUUCUUAUGCAGAUAAUCUCUGAAUUUUAACUCUAAUAAAGCUUUUCACCAGAAUGAGAUGUUAACUAGCCAAUAUUUUAAUCACAGUUCAGUUAAACAACAUUUACCUCUGCAGAAAGGCACCCAAACUGUACUGUCUGUGCUACUCUGUUUCUGUGGAAACUGUGUGUUGGAGUGGAAUAGGAAAAAUGGUGGAGAAAAGGAGAGCAGUAGCAUUUUUGGCUGAAGUCCUGUUGGCCAACCCCAGUUUCAUCUGGGAUAAAUCAGCCAAGCAAGGCCUCAGUGCUGAAGCCCUGACAGUUCUUUUUCCUCCUCCUCUUAACUUGUGCCGAGGGAGGAGUCUGCUUCACAGACACCAUUCAGAAAGUGCUUGCUAAAGCAAUUUAUCUGUACUUUUCAUGCAACAAGAAUUUUAGUCAGCCAGUGAUGUUAGUCAAUAGCUGCCUACACUGGUAGGGUAAGGUUUGUUCUGAAAAGAACUUCCAUUGACGCACAUAUUGCUCAGUCACUGGUCUUCUAAAAAGCACCACUGUAUUCUUGGAAAGAAACUCUCCUCUUCCAACACUGAAAAGACACAUUUUUCAUCAUUCAGGGAUUUCCAAAAUAUGCAUAUGUUUGAUGGAUUGCCAGGAAAGACAGACAGCCUUGACCAGUAAACUCAGCUCUUUUACUUUCUCUUCUCUGGUAGCUGUUUCACUGACAUUCAUAUUGUUUUCUCCUGGAAUAAAACAUCUUUCUUAAAAGUAAAAUGUGAAUUAACAUAAUAUAUUUUAUUGCUUUUUCUGUUCUUAUGAUUUUGUUAAUCAGUGAUUGCUUGCUACUUGUGUAUGUGAGUGAGAGUGAAAAAUCUACCGUGGUAAAGUUGUGAUUGAUGUCUCAAUGCUGUAGAAGUAUUUGGGAGGGUUGGGGGUCUAUUUCUUCCACAUACACACAGCAAAUGACUGGCUUUGAUUGUAGUCUGAGGCUCCAGGUUGGAGGGCUAUGGCAUUUUGCUGCCUUGCUUCAGUAUACACGUUGCCACAGAGUACCAAAAAGCAUUUUGCAGCACUCAUGACAACCAUCAUUCAGUAGAGAAUACUAAAUUACUGCAGGAAAAGAGACAACAGAAAAAGCAGUUUGCAAGAAUGGACAGUAUGGGAGAAAUUUAAGUAAGGAAACAGCAUUAUCUUUUCAAAUUCAGGUGUUUAGAGUGUGCAGACCCAAGAAUUUCAACAGAGUUUCUUACAGGUGAAAGCUAAAGGGAAGAGCCUAGAUCAUGGUGAUGUUGGCUGUACAUGUUUGUGCUUCUGUAUGGAAUCAGGGACACCUGCUUCUUGGUCUGCUGCUGCUUCAGCUUCUUGGUGAGACAUUAACUCUUUAGGUCUCUCUCUAGUUUCCUGUGUGUGCUGGAAUUGGCAGCAGAACAUGAAGAACUUUAACUGCAUCAGAUCAAGGAACCCUUUCCCAUUGUGUGCCUGUAGUGCAUUGUGCUAUACAUGAAAGAAGCAGGAAGGGAAUAGAAAUACAGAAUCACAGAAUAGUAGGGGUUGGAAGGGACUUCUAGAGAUCAUUGAGACCAAC